rnacentral:rRNA from 1 species
UAGGGAAUCUUCGGCAAUGGACGAAAGUCUGACCGAGCAGCGCCGCGUGAGUGAAGAAGGUUUUCGGAUCGUAAAACUCUGUUGGUAGAGAAGAACGUUGGUGAGAGUGGAAAGCUCAUCAAGUGACGGUAACUACCCAGAAAGGGACGGCUAACUACGUGCCUG